CAGUAGCCGCGGUAAUACGAAGGGUGCAAGCGUUAAUCGGAAUUACUGGGCGUAAAGCGUGCGUAGGCGGUUUGUUAAGUCUGCUGUGAAAUCCCCGGGCUCAACCUGGGAAUGGCAGUGGAUACUGGCAAGCUAGAGUGUGUCAGAGGAUGGUGGAAUUCCCGGUGUAGCGGUGAAAUGCGUAGAGAUCGGGAGGAUCAUCAGUGGCGAAGGCGGCCAUCUGGGACAACACUGACGCUGAGGCACGAAAGCGUGGGGAGCAAACAGGAUUAGAUACCCCCGUAGUCCCUGUCUCUUAUAC
rnacentral:rRNA from 1 species